rnacentral:misc_RNA from 1 species
AACGCACAUUGCGCCCGCUAGUAUUCUGGCGGGCAUGCCUGUUCGAGCGUCAUUUCAACCAUCAAGCCCCCGGCUUGCGUUGGAGCCCUGCGGCUGCCGCAGGCUCCCAAAUCCAGUGGCGGGCUCGUCGUCGUACCGAGUGCAGUAAACAUCCUCGCUCAGGGAACGCGUCGGGUUCUUGCCGUGAAACCCCCCCAUAUCAAGGUUGACCUCGGAUCAGGUAGGAAUACCCGCUGAACUUAA